rnacentral:misc_RNA from 1 species
AAGUCGUAACAAGGUUUCCGUAGGUGAACCUGCGGAAGGAUCAUUAUAGUAUAUCUAUAUCUAGGAUGUAGGGGUGCUUUAGGGUACCCCUCCCCGCCAAACCUUGCAAAUUUGGAACUUAAUAGUUACCUUGGUGGCUAACUGCCUGUGGAUAAAUCUAAAUUCUUAAUAACUGGCUGCAAUAAUGUACUGUCUGAAUUAAUUAAUAAUUAAA